CACUUUCUACACGUAAAACGUAAAAUAGAAACUGCAAACCCUUUUCUUUUACAAACCGUACUUUUCAUUUUCUGUAACUGAACUCUAAUGUACAUAACCACUUGCUUGCACCUCUGAUUUCCCCUUCAGUUUCCAGAUGAGGCUUUGUCCCUCACAGUCACAGUCUCAGUUUCAUUCUAGAAGACAACGUGGAUAUAUUCAUCAAAAUUCGCAACUUCAUCCUGCCCAGUAAUUCAGUAAAUCGUUUUGGGAGAAAUCGACAACCAUAUUUGCCAUUCUUAACAACAAUUUACAGAUCAAGUUGACAAAAGGUUUCGUAGCCAAGGAGCCAGUGAAAGGGAACAUGGCGAGUUCUUCUUUCGAAAGUUUAAAAUCUUUUAGUUAAUAGACUUAUAUAUCUUAGAGAAUGAAAAAAUGCUAUGAACGAAAGGGGUUCAUAUUGAUUUCAAAGUCUGAACUCCUAGCUGCUGGUCAAAAUGGAGAUCUCUUAGGUGGUACAUAUGUUUUGUUUAACAAACAGAUGAAGGCGAAUAAAAGGGAGCAAAUUCAGCUUGGGGUUCCAAUAUUUGGACAAAUAAAAGAUGACACUAUGAGAAAAUUGAUGAACUCAAGGAGUUGUGGAUUACAUAUGUCGGAGAUCAACACAAAGCACAAAUGAUGAAUGAGUUCUAACUUUCUGCCUAAUUUUUUAACUUAAUCCACUUUUGGACAUACAUUAUAUUUUUGGAUUUGGAUAUUGAUAUCAUGUAGAUGUGGCUAUAGGAUAGAUUUGAUCUUGUUUAUGAUUUAGAUUACUAUUGAUAUGUAUAUAUAGUAGUUUUUUUUAGAAGUUUAGACUUAUGAAUAUUAGUUGAAUUAUUUUGUGAUAUAAAAUUUUUUUGAAGUUUGGAAUAUGAUAUUCAA